UUGGAAGAAAAAUGGGGAAUUUGCAAUGGAGCAGCAGAUUGGGGAAGCUCUCCAUCAAGAUUCAUGCCCGGAUUUGCAUUAUGAGUGAAUAAUUGGACCUUGUGCCAAGGUGGUGUAGCGUGUGCCAACAUUAUGAAAUAGUUUUGGGGCCAAAUUAGCUAUUUUGAUUGUCCACUAAGACCUAUUUGCUUUUGUUUUGGGCCGAACUAUGUAAUAUUACACAUUUCAUCUAAAGGUCUUUUUUGGAGCUGACCUAAUUGGUAUUUUGAGGCAUUGUCGAGGAUAUAUAGAAAAGGAUAGAUCAUUUGUGAUUUGUAUCAAGUCAACCAGAUGUUGUGAAUGUGCGUAAAAGGGAACUCCAUCAUCUACAAAUGAUAGAUGCUUUAUUUAUAGCAGUUCAAGUUCAUGUUUUGUAAUUCAAACUAUCAUGUAUCCUUCUAUCAAAUAACAAUUCUCCUUAGCAAGUCAAUAUAUCUUUGUAUCUUCGUCAGCAAGUCCAUUAGGGAGUAGUGAGCUUCCUUAGGCAGUGAGCCUUAAAAGAAAAUUUUAAAAAUUGUUCAUAUAUAUUGUGAGAUAGCUCUCACUAUAGUUUUUCCCUCA